GAUGAACGCUGGCGGCGUGCCUAAUACAUGCAAGUCGAGCGAACAGACGAGGAGCUUGCUCCUCUGAUGUUAGCGGCGGACGGGUGAGUAACACGUGGAUAACCUACCUAUAAGACUGGGAUAACUUCGGGAAACCGGAGCUAAUGCCGGAUAACAUGUUGAACCGCAUGGUUCAACAGUGAAAGACGGUCUUGCUGUCACUUAUAGAUGGAUCCGCGCCGCAUUAGCUAGUUGGUAAGGUAACGGCUUACCAAGGCAACGAUGCGUAGCCGACCUGAGAGGGUGAUCGGCCACACUGGAACUGAGACACGGUCCAGACUCCUACGGGAGGCAGCAGUAGGGAAUCUUCCGCAAUGGGCGAAAGCCUGACGGAGCAACGCCGCGUGAGUGAAGAAGGUCUUCGGAUCGUAAAACUCUGUUAUUAGGGAAGAACAAAUGUGUAAGUAACUAUGCACGUCUCGACGGUACCUAAUCAGAAAGCCACGGCUAACUACGUG
rnacentral:rRNA from 1 species